UACCGCAAACAAUAGGGAAGGUAUGGGCAGUCAAAUGUUCUAAAGGUUUCAUUUCAGUGGAAGAAGUGUAGAAGUAUUAAGCUAGUAAUAGAGUGUGGUAGGAAGGCAAAGUUGUUACUUAUUUUUUGAUCCAUGAAUAGAAAGAUGUAAUGAUUACAGUUGGGAAGACAACUAUUAGUAAAAUUGAAAAAAUGUAUGUCUGGUAGGGAAUGAGCAAGUUGGAGGACAUUAUUUAAUUUUCACAUAUCCAUAGAAAUAUAAAAAUAACUUCUAAAGCCAGGAAAGUUAUGAGUAGCAGAAUGGAAAUCCAAUUUAUGAGUGGAGGAGAAAUAGAUAAAAAGAAACCUUAUCAAUCUAAUAAGAGUGAGGAAAAGAGAGAAAUGAAAGUAUACAAAUGUACAAUAAAGUGGAAGAAAUAAAAUUAAGUCUAUAAAUUUUCACUACCAUUGUGAAAUUCUCCUAUCAAAAGGCAAAAACUCUCAGAUUGAGUUUGAAAAUCAAAUUCGAUUAUAUUCUGUAUCAGGCAGGGCCUCAGUAAGAUGACACAUUGGAAACAGGAUAAUUUGAGAAAGGCCUCCUCUGGAAGGUGUGCAUGGGGAGUGGAAGUACAAGGCAUAGUGUGAUACUGGGUGAACACCAGCACCGCUGUUCCCACUCCGAGGCCCAAAAGGACAAAGGGAGGGUGGGAUUCCCAGAACCUGGAAAGAAAGAAUCAUGUAGAGUAGGACACCCAGAGAGGAGCAGUGACUCUUAGUUGAAGGUCAUAGAGGUGACAUCACAGGAAGGAGUCAAGAAUUAACUUCAGUCUCCCUCCCUUGAUUUAGCCAGAGAGCAAGGGAAGAAGUUGGUGUGGUCCCUACAAGUCAGCCCUUUUGCAGGGACCAGAAGGGUGAAUAGUGGGUCCAGAGGAUCAAGCAGACAAGAUACUUGCCACACAUACUGUUUACAAGCACUAGACCAAAAUUAAAGCAACAAGGAAAACUUUGAAGAAAGGAAAGAACAUCUUCUGGAAAUAUCAGAAUGAGCUGACCCUAGGCACUGACGCCAUCACCCAUCAGAAGCCAUGACCUGUGAUUUAUGGGUGUGAAUUAGAUCGUAGACUCUCAAGAGAAUUGACACCCUCAGCAACUGCAAAAUGAAGAAAUCUGUGUCAUUUUGCUCAGGAUGAGUGAGGUAAUUUUUCUGUAUUUUUUUUUUUUUAUUUUGGUUUUGUUUUUGUUUUUAAUGUGAUGGCUUUAAGUGAAAACAGGGCGACACAAAUUGCAUGACUAGCUCCUCUCAAAAGUUAGGUAUUUUUUGCAGCCUACACACUGAUGUCACUAACAGUACUUAAUACCAGUGAGGUGGAUAUGAUUGCACAGUGGGAUUUAUUCAAAGUGUAUCAGGAAAUGGGGGAGAGAAGUGAACACAUUAAGAGGAAAAAUAAAUUUAAAUUAAGUGCUUAUAAUAAUUGACCAAGAAAAACGGUCAAUGAAUAUUUUAUCUUUUGUUCCUUUAAAAAUCCAUGUCGUAUGGAAAUGUGAUGAGCAGAAAAGAACAAUUAAAAGGUACAGGUACCUGACUGGCUUUUCCUGUCUCUUUCCCCAAAUGUCAGGCUCAUAGGAACCCCUAUGGUCCACCUCUGUGCAGAUGAAAAUCUUUCCUUUCCAGACUAAGAGUCAAAAUUCUGAAUAUUUAUAGCCUGAAGUUAUUGUCUGUGA